CGCAGCAGCAGAGGCGGCCGCGUCGCCGGCCUUCGGGCCGGUGCCGAGGAAAGUCCGAGCUCCACAGGGCAGGGUGGUGGGUAACGCCCACCGGGAGUGAUCCCAGGGAAAGUGCCACAGAAAACAUACCGCCCACGUCCGCGCGCGUUCGCGGGCCGGUAAGGGUGAAAAGGUGGGGCCCCGAGUGGGGCUUAAUGUAAGAGCCCACCGCCCCGGCGGCGACGUCGGGGGCACGGUAAACCCCACCCGGAGCAAGGCCGAAUAGGGGAGGAGAGGUGGCCCGCCUCGUUUUCAACUCCCGGGUUGGCCGCUACUUGAGGUCGCCGGCAACGGUGGCCCUAGACGAAUGGUCGCCGCCCGUCUCAAAGAGGCGGGUAACAGGACUCGGCUUACGACCUGCUGCGGCUU
rnacentral:RNase_P_RNA from 1 species